rnacentral:rRNA from 1 species
GAUGAACGCUGGCGGCGUGCUUAACACAUGCAAGUCGAACGUGAGAGGUAGCAAUAUCUUGAAAGUGGCGAACGGGUGAGUAACACGUAGGUAACCUGCCUCGGAGUGGGGGAUAACAGUUAGAAAUGACUGCUAAUACCGCAUGAAUCCAUGGAUUAGGGAUAAUCGAUGGAGAAAACUCUGGUGCUUCGAGAGGGGCCUGCGGCCGAUUAGCUAGUUGGUGGGUAAAGGCCUACCAAGGCGACGAUCGGUAGCUGGUCUGAGAGGACGAUCAGCCACACGGGAACUGAGACACGGUCCCGACUCCUACGGGGGGCAGCAGUGAGGAAUAUUGGGCAAUGGGCGGAAGCCUGACCCAGCAACGCCGCGUGGAGGAAUGAAGG